AAUAGAUACCCAGGUAGUCCACGCCGUAAACGAUGAUCACUAGGUGUGUGCGGUAUCGACCCCGCACGUGCCGUAGCUAACGCAUGAAGUGAUCCGCCUGGGGAGUACGGCCGCAAGGUUGAAACUCAAAGGAAUUGACGGGGGCCCGCACAAGCGGUGGAGCAUGUGGAUUAAUACGUCACUAACCGUAGAACCUUACCUGGGCUCGAAGCGUAGUGGACUGAGGUAGAAAUAUCUUUUUCCCGCAAGGGACUGCUACGUAGGUGCUGCAUGGCUGUACGUCAGCUCGUGUCGUGAGAUGUUGGGUUAAGUCCCGCAACAAGCGCAACCCUUAUUGCCAGUUGCCAUCAUUUAGUUGGGCACUCUGGCGAAACCGCCCCGGAUAACGGGGAGGAAGGUGGGGAUGACGUCAAGUCCUCAUGGCCUUUAUGUCCAGGGCUACACACGUGCUACAAUGGUUGGUACAAACCGUCGCAAACCCGCGAGGGGAGCUAAUCGGAAAAGCCAAUCCCAGUCCGGAUUGGAGUCUGCAACUCGACUCC
rnacentral:rRNA from 1 species